GACGGCAUGGGAAUUUUUAGCCCAGGGUCUCUUUCCCUCUGGUGUGCUGUGUGUCCUGCUUUGCUUGCCUUCUAUGUUCUUGCACAUUCAAACCAGACGCAUUGGAUUCUUGGAACUUCCACAGCAAUAAGUCGCUAUGAGAAUCUGUGCCAACUAUCUGAUCCUUGACUCUGUUUAUAAAAAUGCCGAACUUGUAUGUGGGAUGCAUAUGCAUCCUCUGAAAUCAAGUGUAUUAUCAUUAGCUGUUCGUGGUGCUAGGCCUGUAUUGGAAUUUGCAAGGUGUUGGUUCAGAAGUUCAGAGGUUGCAUGGCCUUUUGGGGACGUUGGUUUCUGAUAUUUCAGAAUGAUGUUACUGUCGAUUUCAAGCAGUAUGCUUUUCGAAGAUCUGACAUCAUGAGGCUUGGAAGAUUAAAACUAAAAGCGAUAGAUGCGAUAGAUUCAAUCAAAUUUCUUGUCAAGGUGAGUUGUGAUCAUGUUUCUAGUUGAAAGUUAUGGGCCAUUGGGGUAACACUGCAUUAUCAAAUCAAGAUUUGUAAAGCUCAAAAAUGGUAGAGCGCUCAAGCCUUUUGGGCGUUUGAGAGGGUGGUGGUUCGAAUCCACCCAGAUCUACUACAGCCUAAUACUUUUUCUUCUUUUUAUUCAUAUAUUUUGUAACCAUUUACUAACGUUAUGAUAUGGAAGCCUAAACGUGCUGAGCCGUCAGCCUAGGUUAAGUAAUGUCUUUCAAAUCCUGCCUCAUUUCUGCAUUGUAGACUCUGAGGGGGUUUAACUUAAAAUGUGAACUUGGGAAGUCCUCCCUGCAUAGAGGUUCCUUUUAAGAGGGGCCUCCAUUAUUUACAGUCUUGCAGCUUCCCCCAUCAAUACCUUGUCUUGUAACAUUCAGCUUGCAGCUUUUUUCUCAAGUGGAUUUGCUUGCUUCUCAAAUUGCACAAAGCUCCACUGCAGUCUGUACUUGUCUCUGGAGUUUGUUGCUUCUAUUUUGUGUAGUUGGGUCUUUUUUGGUGAGUGAUGGAAGCAAUGCCUUAAUGUGUAAUAGCUCCA